rnacentral:rRNA from 1 species
GAUGAACGCUGGCGGCGUGCCUAAUACAUGCAAGUCGAGCGAACAGACGAGGAGCUUGCUCCUCUGACGUUAGCGGCGGACGGGUGAGUAACACGUGGAUAACCUACCUAUAAGACUGGGAUAACUUCGGGAAACCGGAGCUAAUACCGGAUAAUAUAUUGAACCGCAUGGUUCAAUAGUGAAAGACGGUUUUGCUGUCACUUAUAGAUGGAUCCGCGCCGCAUUAGCUAGUUGGUAAGGUAACGGCUUACCAAGGCGACGAUGCGUAGCCGACCUGAGAGGGGGAUCGGCCACACUGGAGCUGACACACGUGCCAGGCUCCUACGGGAGGCAGCAGCAGGGAAGCUUCCGAAAUGGGCGAAAGCCUGCCGGAGCCACGGCGCGUGGGUGAUGAAGGUCUUCGGAUCGUAAAACUCUGUUAUUAGGGAAGAACAAAUGUGUAAGUAACUAUGCACGUCUUGACGGUACCUAAUCAGAAAGCCCCGGCUAACUACGG